rnacentral:rRNA from 1 species
UAGGGAAUCUUCCACAAUGGACGAAAGUCUGAUGGAGCAACGCCGCGUGAGUGAAGAAGGGUUUCGGCUCGUAAAACUCUGUUGUUAAAGAAGAACAUAUCUGAGAGUAACUGCUCAGGUAUUGACGGUAUUUAACCAGAAAGCCACGGCUAACUACGUGCCAA